CGCUAGCCCCAAUAGUAGCGGCAUCCUGUUGUGGCGGUGUUCGCCACAAUAGAUAUAGCGAAUAGUGGGAAACAGC
rnacentral:sRNA from 1 species